CCGAUGAUAUUAUUUGCAAUUGCUACAUUGUUAGCCGAUGACUCGAGUCUGCUGGCUG
rnacentral:tRNA from 1 species